AGCCAUUUUUGUUUGCCUGAGAGCCCUUAAAAAUGGAGUCUUUGUAAAAUUUGAACCACGAAAUCACUCGUCUCUUCUCUCAGUCUCAAAAUUUUCCUUCAAAUCAUGGCUACAUUACACAUUUUCAGGUCUGCACUAUGGUUUCAGUACCUGAUUUUUCAUCUUCUAACCCUAUAUCCCAUUUCUGGUUACUCAUUUGUUACCCUAAUCACUAGCAACCCCAAAUUCGAUCCCCAAAUUGUUCUCCUCGGCGACGCCAGGAUAUCCGAUGAUGGUUCUCGUGUGCAACUCACGAACCCUCGUGCCUCAAGCUCUGGUCUUCUCUUGUGCAAGGAUCCCUUUAAAUUUCUCGGUUCCAGUCCCAGCAAAAUGUCGUCGUUUUCCACGGAGUUUGAGUUCACAUUUACUGGUAAUGGGGAUAAUCUUUCUCUUGUUAUGGGUCCCUAUAAUUUUGCAUCAAAAUUUCUGGGUCAAGAUCCAUAUGAGUUUUCAAGAGAGAAAGGGUUUCUGGGUAUCGAAUUUGGCUUUUCAAUGGAUGGCAAUGUAGGUGAAUCUAACACUACUCUUGUAUCUGUAAGUGUUAAUAAUGAAAUGUCCAUGCAUUUGGGGACAAAUAGUGGAGAGAAACUGAAGUCUUGGAUUGACUAUGAUCCGAGUUCCAAAAGAUUAGAGAUUAGGUUAAGUAAAUUUAGUGAUAAAAGGCCAUAUAAUCCCAUUAUUGCAUAUUCGAUUGAUCUGUCAAAAACAUGGGAAGUUAAUGACGUUUAUGUGGCCCUAGGCUCAAGAAAUGGAGGCAACUCCUCAGAGACAUAUUAUGUGUAUUCGUGGAGGUUUAGGUUGAGGAAAUUUCCUAAUUGGAUGCAUUCCUUACCAGUUGAUCCACAUGGUUCUGUGGAUAAUGGUAAUCAAAGUUUAAGAGUGCAUAGUAGGAGAUUUUGUCCUUUUACUUUUCUUGCUGGGAUGAUUUUCGUGACUGGAUGUGGAGCAUUACUGGCAUUUAUGGUGCUAUUUAUGUGGGCAAUCUUUGUCAACAGGCGCACUGUGUUUCCAAUUGAAGGUGAUGUGCAGCCGGUGGAUUUCAGUUAUAAAAAGGUCAGUGUACUUGUAGAGAAAGAUGGGAAAGUGGUUAAGAAUUAGAACAUCCAGUAUAUGAACUUUUGCUGUGAAUUUAUUUGGCAUUAGUGUUUGUAGUAGAUGAAGCUCUGUUAUGAACUAUGAAGUACUUUGUUGUUUUUUUCCUUAUCCUUAUUGUACUAACUGAUCUAAUGAAACAUACAGUUUCUUGUGUGCACCUGAUAUGCGGUAUGCUAUUAACUGCUUUGUCUCUGCUCAAUUUGAUCAUUAGUUCAUAUGUACAUAACUUGCUAAUCUUUUUAAUUUAUCUAUGAAGUCUUAUUACCAUUACAAGGAAUUUUAUUGCUUAAUGAUGAAACCAGAUAAGCAUGAAAUGGAGUGGCAACAAGUUUGCUAUGAAGAGUGUUCAUGGUGUUUAUGCAUUCUGUGGACAAGUAAUGUGAUUGUUUUUCUGGAAAAUAGUUAGAAUGCCUGGCUGUAAUAGUGUCUUCUUCUCCUAUUUACUUAUUUUUCUUGAAGAUGCAGAAUGGAAAAAAAUGAUCCGCAAAAUGAAUCCCAACUAGUUCAGGACAAAAACGUAGUUGACUGAGUAAAAGCUGAAUUAGCUAAUUAAAAAAGGUUACUCCAUUAGUAUAGCAUUUUCAAUUUUCUUAAAGCUUGAAGCAUUAAACUAAUAAACUAAUGCAGGUAUUUCCUUGGUUCCUUGGUUAAGAGCAUUAGGAGUCUUCCUUCAUGUAAUCAGGUGAUAGUAUUGGAUUGUUAUCAUAUAUGCCUAGCUCUAUGGAUUUGUAUAGUCAAUUUGGCUGUGAUUGAUUUGUAAUAGCUUAACGGUAGCCAACUAGCCACAUAUAUGUGAAUUAACCUCCAUAUUGUUGUUGUGGAAAAGUUGCAUAUCUGAUUAUUAUAAAAUAUGGUAUUUUUUUUAUUUUUUUAAUUAUGAAUGAAAUAAUUAACAUUCAAGAAAUUACUCACCCUAGCUAUUGGAAUUCGAACUUAGACAAUUCCAAUAAGUAAAAUUCAUUGGUAAGGUGAGAAGAUUUUGUCUUAGCUUUCUCUUUGAAACUUCUCUUUCGGGUCACCGACCCUACUUCCCUGUUGGGGGCCUUUCUCUUCCCUAGCCUAAAGUUUGCGUUGCUCCAUCUCCACCUUUAGGUUGGGGUUAUAUAGUCUGUUCAAUUUUGUGCGUGCAAGAGAGGGUUUCAUUGGUGUGGAUCUGAGUGGUUCUGUGUUGAUCGAGGUUGUUCAUGACCGAAAGCAGUGAGCAUGGAGGCUUAGGCUUUACUUGAGGAUGAUAUCUGACGAAGGGUUAAAAUAUUGAAGGUGGUAGGUUUCGGUGCCAUCCAACAUCCCCACAUGUAGAUUGACACUGUCGGUCUCAUUUGAUGGCUUCUGUGCGAGCUCAGUGCUUGAGCCAAUGUUUGAGCCCUUGUUGCUGGUUUUGGUUAUGGUUGGGUUAUGGUGUUUUGUUUCUUGCUCAGCCGUCUACGAUGGCUGGUGGUCUGGGUGCGUUUUGUCUGUGGGUUCUCAACCUGCUUUGGUUGUGUACGGCUGCUGGACUCAGGGCUUCUUUGCUGGGUCCUUUCUUUGGGUCUAAUUCGUGUUUUUGUUUUGCUCACGG
rnacentral:misc_RNA from 1 species